rnacentral:lncRNA from 1 species
CUGCUGUCAGAUGUAGCGAGGGAUACUGAGCUGUCGCCAUCAGUGCUGAGGCCUGUUUCAACUGCCAGUUCAGUUGGCUUCUGUACAUGGAAUGGGAGAUGGUGCCAUUUUGCUCUUUACCUCAGGCAGCAAACUAUCUUGGCCUUGAAUGUUUCUAGGACAGAGUCUCAUAAAGUGAAGCCUAUUCAUGCCAAACAAGGUCCUUGAUGAAAAGGACAAGAAAUUCACUGGGCCAGGUCUAUUAUGUUGAAGGACCUGAAGAUAUUCUCUGUGAAACUUGAAGUAUGUGCUAAGCUCUCCUUGACAGCAAAACACCACCUCUCCUCAUAGCUUUUGUAUCUGGAGAUAGACUGUUCCUUGAACAGUUCGAUCUUCCAUGUGCCUGCUCAGAAGGAAGUCUCAUUAAUCGCAGUGGGGCUUACUCUGAAGUAAGUGUUCCUAGUAGUGUGACCUCAAUCUGAUAUAUGCAUUGUGUUUGCUUAAUUGAGAGGCCAUGCUUAUGCAUUUGUAUGAGUCUUUUUGCUGCAAUAUUCACACACACACACACACACACACACACACACACACACACACACUUUAAUCCAGUCAGCUUAUUGCAUUAAAAAAAAUGUAUAUCACAACCGAAGCAAUUUUGUGAAACUGGCUAUAAUGCAACAUCUGCUGAUAAGUGCCUUGGGGAUGCGAGACAGAGGCAAACUGCUUGCCGCGUGAGAAAUCGGCACAACACCAUGCAAUAAUGUUGCAGUGUGAAGAGUCACGGAAGCGCCAGAGCCUGGUUGUGGAUCAAAUUGUUGUGUUGGUAAUUAGAAAACAAUAAGACUACAUGCAAUUGAGCCAAGAUGUAUUAAAAGUCCGGUAGCAAUUCCCCCUUAAUGCUGACUAGAAAAGAAACAACUGGAACAGAGGAAACCGGAAAGCAUUGUUUAUCUGUCCUCAUUACAAGGUCUGUUUGAAUAACUGCAUGUCACCUCAGCCUGUUUAACCUUUUGUGAAAACAAUGCACCUUAAAGAAGAGCCAUUGGAUGUUUGGUGCACAGCGUUGCAUAUAAAAAUCUCGCAUGCAUAUAGCUAUAGCUAUAGGAUAAAGAAUGCAUAGGCCAACCUCAUUAAACUACUGGCCCAUCACCCAGAUUACAGUACUCAAAACAUCCCAUGUGUUGGACAUUUUAAAAUAUCAUGCCCUGAAAAUCAGGCCUGAAAUAUUCUCCCAGGGGUUACCAGAAAUGGACUGAGAAUGGAUGUUUUGGAUCUUUGUGUGAAUGCAUGAAUUGAACAGCACCUUUGGUCUGCGGUUGCCCUUUGUUCCAGAAACCCUACUGAGAAGAUUUUCAUGUUUUUGCUCUAGAUCCCAGGUGGAGAACUAUAUUUAUUGGGGCCAAAAUGUACUCCCACCCUAGCUCAGGCAUCUCUAUUGGGUCCUCAGAGCUUUCACUCUGGCCUUUGGGACUUGCGAGGCCACACAACCCUCUCACUAGGCCUCUGUUCUCACUGGAUCUUCUCCAUACCCCCCUUUUGCCUGCCCUGAAUGUAUCCUUGAACUCUGGUGCAGCUUCUUCCUUGCCCAGAUGGAGAACAGAGAAGGGGCCUGUGAAUGUGUGUAGACGUCAGCCCACAAACCACUUCCAGGCAUAGAAAAGAACAAGGAUGGGCAACAUCAGCAGCUGUGAUUGGUCAGGCAGUACAAACCCAAUCCUGCAGGGGUAGACAGCAUGGUGCCCUGCAGGUGGUUGUUGGACUCCAACCACCACCAGCCUCAUCCAGUGUGUCCAAUAAUAAGGAGUGAUAGGAAUUGUAGUCUUAUGACUACAACUCAUAUAGGACCCACAAGUUGCAUACUAAAUGCUCCACUACAAAUGUGCUACAAGCAGAAGAAGCAGGUGUGCAAUAUGCCCCAUACCAUAGGAGAUGGUGUGGCAAAGGAGCACUGAGAAGGCCCAUGAAAGCAAAUUGCAGCUGUGUUCAGAGGCAAUGCUAAGCCGAAAUCCAGGGGCGGAGAAUCUUAGUCCCAGUCAGUGGCAUAGCGUUGGUUGCUGGCGCCCAGGGCCCCACAUCGGCCAAGCCUAUGCUAAAGCCCAGGCCUUAACUUCACAUUGUGUGGUUGUAGCACUUUGAAUCCUUGUUGUUUGCACCAUAGCCCGAGUACUAUAUUGUUUGGACCACAUGUUUCUGACCCUGCUGAGUUCAAUCAUUUUAACUGUGUUGUGCAGGUAUGGUUAACAUUUCCCCAAAUGGGUUAACUGAUGUUGAAAACCCCAUGCACCUUACAGUCAGGAGUUCCAUGGCAUCACAGGCCAUUUUUUAUUUUUAAAAAGUUAUCCUGAACUCAGUAGUAACUAGCUGAUUUUUUUUAUU